AUUGAACGCUGGCGGCAGGCCUAACACAUGCAAGUCGAGCGGAUGAAGGGAGCUUGCUCCUGGAUUCAGCGGCGGACGGGUGAGUAAUGCCUAGGAAUCUGCCUGGUAGUGGGGGAUAACGUCCGGAAACGGGCGCUAAUACCGCAUACGUCCUGAGGGAGAAAGUGGGGGAUCUUCGGACCUCACGCUAUCAGAUGAGCCUAGGUCGGAUUAGCUAGUUGGUGGGGUAAAGGCCUACCAAGGCGACGAUCCGUAACUGGUCUGAGAGGAUGAUCAGUCACACUGGAACUGAGGCACGGUCCAGACUCCUACGGGAGGCAGCAGUGGGGAAUAUUGGACAAUGGGCGAAAGCCUGAUCCAGCUAUGCCGCGUGUGUGAAGAAGGUCUUCGGAUUGUAAAGCACUUUAAGUUGGGAGGAAGGGCAGUAAGUUAAUACCUUGCUGUUUUGACGUUACCAACAGAAUAAGCACCGGCUAACUUCGUG
rnacentral:rRNA from 1 species